rnacentral:lncRNA from 1 species
CCCUGUAGAGCCUGUGCAAUCUGUGCAGAGGAUGGAUUGAAUUUCUGUGCUCACCUGUCUCUGUCUGGCUGAAGAGGUCAUUCAGCUUUGUGAGAAUCUAUGGGAUCUGCAUGGAUGUGACUUAGUUGCUCCUGUGAAGAGCUUCCGCCAGUGUUUCAUUUCCUCUCUGCUUUUCCCCACUGCAGCUAAAUACAAGCCAGAUUCCCAAGGAGAAGAAAAAGAUGCAAUUUCACUGCGAAAGAGCUUAUUUCAUUCAGAAGUGAUGAAAUGUCAUUGCUGGAAAAAUGCAGGAAAGAUUGCGUCGGACAGAUUCUGGAUGGCUUGCGUAGGGCAGUGAUCCCAGAUGGCCCUCUCCAUUUUACAGCAUCACAGCAGUGUUCAUGGAGGGAAGCAGGAAUCUUGACAUCUGUGUCAGCCACAGAUACAACAACUGCAUCUGACAGACGGGUCAUUCUCUGCAGUCCUGCAAGGACACAAAGUUGUGGAUUUGCCUCACGAGCGGAGGACCCAGCUGGCCCAUUCUUGGGAUUUGACUGGAAGACUCCUGCUGCUGAGCGGCGUGGCUGCUGACUUACUUCCUCAGGUAUAUCUGUCAUGAUUGCCUUUCCCUGCCUUCAAGGUGCCUGGUAGGUGAAGCACCAUGCGGGGACUCUGGCAAGGUGGUCAUAAAAGUCACUGCAGUGCUACGUGGCUUAAGGCCAUGUGCGAAAAGAAAUAAUGAUGCUUACUUACUGCGUGAAGCACAUUGAGCUUUUGGGUGGAAAAGCAAACCGUUAAGUGAUUAUUAGACUGUUUGAUUAAAUGCCGUUUAAUAGUUAUUACAAGAAAAGCUUUUAUGAUUGGCUGACUUCACCUGCCCAGGGAACCGGGCUCUGCCUGCUGGCUGGAUUUAGGCUCCCAGGAAAGACUACGGAGGAAGGCACAGAGUUGCUCUUCAGGCAAGUUGUCACAGAGCUGCCAGAGGACUGUUGCAGGAUUUAAAUCAUAUGAUCAGUAGGAGUGGCUGAAAAUGCUCUGAAGAAAGAAUUUUCCAACAUGAAAUACUGAUUUGAUGGAAUUUCAGUAUUAGUCAUUUCAGUAUUAGGAAUUUUACUUAAACUUCCUGGUGGGAACCAUGUGGGUG